rnacentral:lncRNA from 1 species
AAAACUGUCAUGUGAUUGGUUUAAAAUGUUCAUAUUGAAGAACACAACUUAUUAUACCUUCCUUUGCGAUUUACAAAAGAUGACAAUAUUAACUUGGUGACUAAGGUGGACCAGCCUUAUAUAAUCAGCAUUUUUGAAAAUUCACGAUAUUGUAAGUAUCGACCGCUGGACACUCAAAGUUUAUGUCAUAAAAACAAGGUUGAGAUACUUUAUUUUUAGUCUAGAAAACGCUCUCUUUUAUUCUUAUAUCGGUAGCUGGAUUUCCAAGUAAAUUUCAUGCAGCAAAGAAAAAUACAGAUCUGAAUGGAGAGAAUGUUAGAUGGACUAAUAUAUAUGACACGUUCAACAGGGUUGAACUUACAUUUGUAAAUUACAAUUGUGGGAGUUGUCUAUUUUUCUAACCAAUACUUUCGUUCAUUCCUUCGACCCUUUAUAAGAAAUUACCAGUACUUGACUUUGACACAUGACAAGUAAAAAAAAAACACUUUUAAUUUGUGAUGAAGAGUCUUAAAAUAGCGAAAUUUUGAUUCCGUCGUUCUUCCUCUUUACUCUGUUUUUGAGUUAGGAGAACUUUUUCAUUUGUAGAAUAUCAACAACGAAAUCGUAUCAACUGAGAUGCAUGACGAAAUCGGCUGUUACUGAUGGUUUGAUAUACAUACAUAUACUAAACAUGGAUAGAUAACAAAUAUAAGAAAUGGAAAGUUUUUAGAUUGUAUUAUAUGUCUCU